CUGCAAUGCUAACGCUAGCUGCAAUGCUAACACUAACUGAAGUGCUAAUGCUAGCCGGAAUGCUAGCGCUAGCAGCAAUGCUAAGGCUAGUAACAGUCUAACAGUAGCCUUACAUAAGUGGCAAUACUUCAGUUAAUUAGUUUGAAUUGUAAAAUGACUGCUGUAUCAGUUGGUGUGCUAUAUUACUCUAUAAUUACCCUGCUGACUAGAAGUUCAGUGUAUCAUGUCGUGUGGGCUUUGUAUUUCUGUUAGUCUGAUAACACUGUACAGACAACUAACGUAUUAUUUCUCGUUUCUUUCAGGAACCUGACUGACACUGUGCUUUGCCUGAGUGUGUAGAAGAAGAAGAACAAGGACCAGAUCUCCAGUCUUCUCUCUCACAUCCCAACCCCCCAACCCCUCUAUCCUCUGUCCUGCUCCACCUAUUGUCUCUGCCUUCUUUCCAUCUGUAUUUCACUCUGUGGUUUGUGAGAAAUUUUGCCAAACCAACAAUCCUUUUGCGGUUUGAUUUAAAGCCGUGUCUCUCCUGCUCUGUCUGUUCUCUCUGCUAAAUUUUCUCUCUACCUGUUUUUCACUCUUGGCUUGCUGCUGAAAAACGCCAAGCCAACAAAGCAAUAAAGAGUGCAUAUUUUGCCUCAACCUAUGAACAAACUGAACAAACAAAGAAAAAUCUGCGGUUUGAUUUAAAGCCGUGUCUCUCCUGCUCUGUCUGUUCUCACUGCUAAAUUUUCUCUCUACCUGUUUUUCACUCUUGGCUUGCUGCUGAAAAACGCCAAGCCAUUAAAGCAAUAAAGAGUGCAUAUAUUGCCUCUACCUGAGAACAAACUGAACAAACAAAGAAAACUAAUUCACGGUUUGAUUGUGAUUUCCCAGCCGUGUCUCUCCUGCUCUGCCUGUUCUCUCUUCUAAAUUUUCUCUCUACCUGUUUUUCACUCUUGGCUUGCUGCUGAAAAAUGCCAAGCCAAUAAAGAGAGUGCAUAAUAUUCUCUCAACUGAAGAACAAACUGUCAAACGAAAGACAACUGUUUAAGACAAAUAAAAACUGAAAUAUAAAAACAAA